GUGUCAGCAGCCGCGGUAAUACAGAGGCCUCGAGCGUUAGGCGGAAUCACUGGGCUUAAAGCGUGUGUAGGCGGACUUCUAAGUACCUUGUGAAAUCCCACGGCUCACCCGUGGAACUGCUUGGUAUACUGGUUGUCUUGAGCCUUCUAGGGGCGAGUGGAACAAAUGGUGGAGCGGUGAAAUGCGUAGAUAUCAUUUGGAACGCCAAUGGUGAAAACAACUCGCUGGGGAAGUGCUGACGCUGAGACACGAAAGCCAGGGGAGCGAACGGGAUUAGAUACCCUUGUAGUCC
rnacentral:rRNA from 1 species